AGUAAAAUAAAAUUCACUAGGAGUCAAAUCAGUCUGAACACAACUUUAAUUAGUAGAUGAUGAUCAGCAUUGAGACCAGGUGUGAGUUUUCCUCUCGGUAAAACAUCUAACCUGAAAGGUUUUCUGUGGUAGAAGCCAGGACCUGGUCUACACUGGUCUCCUCCUCAGAGGAGGAUUUGUUUACGGAGGUUUAAAGUGAAGCGAGCGAGCGGAGGCCGGGUCCAGAGGGCGGCCGGUGAUCUGGGCGUGGAGAUGUCCUGAUGAACACUCACCUAACAGCUGCUCUGUUUAUUGGUCUUGGAGAACCACCCCGGAGUCCUUGAAGCGCUUCCAGGUGCUUGGAUCAGAUCAGGUCUGACGGGGAAACGGAGCCGGGACCAGAGAACCAGGCUUUAGCAAAAACUGAUGACACAGCUUCAAGAACCGAUAAAAACCAACGUCUCCUCUCGCUGGAAUUUUCCUGAGCUUCUUUCCAGAGAAUCCAUUUAUUUGGAAAAGACACAUCAGGAAGUGUGAGUCCAAACAAAGACCAGCGAUGGUGAAUCUGAAUGUGGGUCCAGGCUGCAGGUCUGUGGGCUUCCUGGUCCAUCCGAGUCCAGACAGAGUCUGAGUCACGUGGAGGUCAACAACAGACUCUUUAAAACAAAAGCGACAGUUCAAUCAGUGACUGAAGAUCCUUCGAUCCUACAGCUAAAUGUUAUUUAGUGCAAUGAUUAUGAAUAAAUAUAAUUUAUUUUUUGUUAAAAUGUCCCUAA